rnacentral:rRNA from 1 species
AAGUCGUAACAAGGUCUCCGUUGGUGAACCAGCGGAGGGAUCAUUACCGAGUUUACAACUCCCAAACCCCUGUGAACAUACCUUAAUGUUGCCUCGGCGGAUCAGCCCGCGCCCCGUAAAACGGGACGGCCCGCCAGAGGACCCAAACUCUAAUGUUUCUUAUUGUAACUUCUGAGUAAAACAAACAAAUAAAUCAAAACUUUCAACAACGGAUCUCUUGGUUCUGGCAUCGAUGAAGAACGCAGCAAAAUGCGAUAAGUAAUGUGAAUUGCAGAAUUCAGUGAAUCAUCGAAUCUUUGAACGCACAUUGCGCCCGCUGGUAUUCCGGCGGGCAUGCCUGUUCGAGCGUCAUUUCAACCCUCAAGCCCCCGGGUUUGGUGUUGGGGAUCGGCUCUGCCUUCUGGCGGUGCCGCCCCCGAAAUACAUUGGCGGUCUCGCUGCAGCCUCCAUUGCGUAGUAGCUAACACCUCGCAACUGGAACGCGGCGCGGCCAUGCCGUAAAACCCCAACUUCUGAAUGUUGACCUCGGAUCAGGUAGGAAUACCCGCUGAACUUAAGCAUAUCAAUAAGCGGAGGAAAAGAAACCAACAGGGAUUGCCCUAGUAACGGCGAGUGAAGCGGCAACAGCUCAAAUUUGAAAUCUGGCUUUCGGGCCCGAGUUGUAAUUUGUAGAGGAUACUUUUGAUGCGGUGCCUUCCGAGUUCCCUGGAGCGGGACGCCAUAGAGGGUGAGAGCCCCGUCUGGUUGGAUGCCAAAUCUCUGUAAAGUUCCUUCGACGAGUCGAGUAGUUUGGGAAUGCUGCUCUAAAUGGGAGGUAUAUGUCUUCUAAAGCUAAAUAUUGGCCAGAGACCGAUAGCGCACAAGUAGAGUGAUCGAAAGAUGAAAAGCACUUUGAAAAGAGAGUUAAAAAGUACGUGAAAUUGUUGAAAGGGAAGCGUUUAUGACCAGACUUGGACUUGGUUAAUCAUCUUGGGUUCUCCCCAGUGCACUUUUCCAGUUCAGGCCAGCAUCAGUUUUCGCCGGGGGAUAAAGGCUUCGGGAAUGUAGCUCUCUUCGGGGAGUGUUAUAGCCCGUUGUGUAAUACCCUGGUGGAGACUGAGGUUCGCGCUUCUGCAAGGAUGCUGGCGUAAUGGUCAUCAACGACC